rnacentral:lncRNA from 1 species
AUAUUCAUCUUAAGACUAAUCUAGUUGUGAUUGUAGGUCAAUGGAAUUCACGAAGAAGAUCGUGGUGUUAUGUGCGAAAGAUUACUCUUUGACAGCUCCCGGCCACAUUGGUGUCAGAAUAACUACUGCUAAGUGAAGCUAUUGUCUUCGAGAACUUACGAAGAAUGGCCAUUAUGAAGCUUCGGAUUAAAAAACAGACAAAGACGGAAAGCUCAUUUUUAAAGAAACAGUGCUUGUAUGGUACACGGUAUUGGAUAUGACGAGAGAGUAUCAAACAUGUUGUUAGGUGAUUAGCUAAGGUUUAACAUCCCUAAAUUUCCAUGUAAUAGGUAGCAGCAGCAUCUAUUGUUUUUGUAAGAAAUGUUUAGUCGUAGUGCCAUGUGCACUUUGUUGUCAUUUUAGUUUCCCUUUUCUAUCAUAUUUCAAUCUUUGUAUUUAUCAAUUUGCAAUCAAUCAAUAAUGAUUUUUCGG